UCGCGCCACUUUCGCAAUCUUACUACGAUUCCCAAACUCCAAGCAAAUCAUAAUAGUAGCACAUGGUUGUGUUUUUUGGAUCAUACAUCCCAGGUGUAUUCCAGUUUGUGAAGUAUUUUUCUUUUCUCAGUUUUGCAGAUAUUCAUGAAACAGUGUGAGUAAACGACCCCUGUGCACAGCUGUGUCUCCUCUGGAAAACGUCUCCAGAUUGCGGAUUUGAGGGCAUACUAAUUUAGCCUCAAUGAAAAUCCUGUUAUUAACAUUUAAAAGUCACGGUAGUGUCAAAGUGCUUACAGUGCAGGUAGUCUUGUAUAAUCUACUGCAGUGAAGGCACUUUCAGCACUAUUCUGAUAAUGGAAACUAGGACCUGUUUACUAGAAGACAAGUUGUAUAGUGCAGUUCAGGAUGGGCUGAUACACACAAAUAGAAAAAUAUGUUAAUUUAGAAGGUGAAAUGCAGACCAAGGCAUGUAAAAGACAACUUUAGCUUGGUUUCUACAGAGAUUGACUUAUAAAAUGCUUUCUGGUCAUAACUAAAAUGUGCAUUUAUAUGCUUUCUACUAGUGCUUAUGCUAAGGUGCAUCUAGUGCAGAUAGUGAAGUAGACUAGCACCUACUGCCCUAAGUGCUCCUUCUGGCAUAAGAGACUGGGACUCUCAUCUGUUUUGUAUGUAUACUUGUGUCCCUUUAUACUGAGUUGUUGCAGGUUUCUGUUAGUUUUGCGUGGUUGCGCUGCAAGAAAGAAGAGUUGUGCAAAUCUAUGCAAAACUGACAGCGACCUGCGGUGACAUCUAGAUGCUCUUUGCGGAUCCCUUUUCCAUCAUCAUGGCCAGUCAUGCUUCCACUACUGUUGUAAUAAGGAUCUGACAGGCUUCAGCAGUAUUAAAGUGCUUAUAGUGCAGGUAGUUUUUUAUGUUCUACUGCAGUGUGAGCACUUAAAUUACUUCUAGACGUGUGCCCCUUCACGGAAAGCAGCAGGUGUAGUUUUUGCUCAUGGGUCUCUGGUUAGUUUUGCUGGUUUGCUUUCAGCUUUUUACUUUACUGCUGUGCAAAUCCAUGCAAAACUGAUCAUAGAACUGAAAUGAAUCUAAAAUAAAUAUCCCCUUUCUCUACAGGUUGGGAGAGGUAGCAAUGCUCUGUACUCAGGUGGUAUUGCACUUGUCCCGGCCUGUAGGGGACCUGGGAAAUCGUUCUGCAUCAAGUUCUACUGUGAAACAACUCUGCUAGUUUUUGACCUUUUACUGUCAUCUGACAUUUCAAGGACUAAACUGUCAAAUAUAAUUUAUUUUAUUUGACUUUAUACCACUCUGUGACAUUUGAAUUAUGUUUUGUAAGAAAAUGUAUUUUUAUGGCGUGUUUGUAAUCUCACCAUAUGCAGUUGGGCUUGUGUAUUUCAUUUUGGUAAUAAAAUGUUUUAUUUGCUCAGA